GAACCAGCCAAGUAGCGUGCAGGAUGACGGCCCUAUGGGUUGUAAACUGCUUUUAUACAGGGAUAAAGUUAGCCACGUGUGGUUAUUUGCAGGUACUGUAUGAAUAAGGACCGGCUAAUUCCGUGCCAGCGAGCCGCGGUAAUUA
rnacentral:rRNA from 1 species